UGCCCAAUCCUGGAUUCGAUCCUGGGUCGUAGCGGUCGAAAACCGAUGGUUUAGACCACUCUUUCACCAACCAGAC